AGAGUUUGAUCCUGGCUCAGGAUGAACGCUAGCGGCAGGCUUAACACAUGCAAGUCGAGGGGCAGCAUAAUGGUAGUAAUACUAUUGAUGGCGACCGGCGGACGGGUGCGUAACGCGUAUGCAACCUACCCUUUACAGGGGGAUAACACUGAGAAAUCGGUACUAAUACCCCAUAAUAUUCUGGGAGGCAUCUUUCGGAGUUGAAAGCUUUGGUGGUAAAGGAUGGGCAUGCGUUGUAUUAGCUAGUUGGUAAGGUAACGGCUUACCAAGGCGACGAUACAUAGGGGGACUGAGAGGUUAACCCCCCACAUUGGUACUGAGACACGGACCAAACUCCUACGGGAGGCAGCAGUGAGGAAUAUUGGUCAAUGGACGAGAGUCUGAACCAGCCAAGUCGCGUGAGGGAAGACUGCCCUAUGGGUUGUAAACCUCUUUUCUACUGGGAGAAUAAGCCUUAUGUAUAAGGUGAUGACAGUACAGUAGGAAUAAGCAUCGGCUAACUCCGUGCCAGCAGCCGCGGUAAUACGGAGGAUGCGAGCGUUAUCCGGAUUUAUUGGGUUUAAAGGGUGCGUAGGCGGCUUUAUAAGUUAGUGGUAAAAUUUCGGAGCUUCACUCCGGUCCGCCAUUAAAACUGUAGAGCUAGAGAAUGGACGAGGUAGGCGGAAUAAGUUAAGUAGCGGUGAAAUGCAUAGAUAUAACUUAGAACUCCGAUAGCGAAGGCAGCUUACCAGACCAUAACUGACGCUGAUGCACGAGAGCGUGGGUAGCGAACAGGAUUAGAUACCCUGGUAGUCCACGCCGUAAACGAUGCUCACCGGCCCUUAGCGAUAAGACAGUUAGGGGUUAAUUGAAAGAAUUAAGUGAGCCACCUGGGGAGUACGUCGGCAACGAUGAAACUCAAAGGAAUUGACGGGGGCCCGCACAAGCGGAGGAACAUGUG
rnacentral:rRNA from 1 species